rnacentral:lncRNA from 1 species
GUCACUGCAUUCACAAGGCCAUUUGGGUUGGCUCAUUCAGGAUACCAGCCACAUGAUAUGUUCCACGGGGCAAGAGCUGUGUUGGCCAGGGGAAGUAAUUCAAGACCUGGAAAGCCAGAGGAGGAGAAAGCCGAGGAUCAGCCCUUGUUCCUGGCUUUCAAUAUGGACAUGGAUUGGAAUCCCAACUCUGUAAUUUGCAAUCUCUGUUACCUUGGAAUGAUGUCAAUCUCUACUUCACGAGGCAGUUGUCAAGGGAAAAUGAGGCAGCCUGUAAAGUGUCUGGGACAUAACUGGUGUUUGUAAAUGUGUGGAGAAAGCAGUUUUCAAACUGGUUAACAGGGCUUGAGAAGACAUAAAGCCCAAAUCUGACUGUUGGAGCUUAAUUACACUUGAUAAGCAAGCACGUCUACACCUACAUCAUUGCAAAUUGGAGAAAACCUUCCAUCUGUAGCUAUUCUUCAUUUUCUCAUUGGCUUUUCAGCGGCUCAUUAGUGUAAUGGAGAUGCCUUGAGGCAAGCUUCAAUAGCCUUAGAGCACAGGCAGACAUCCCUGAGCUCCGGAAAGAACCUGGACAGGCCCUGAAAGCAUGAGGGAAAGCUUUGGAGAAGGCAAUUGAGAAACCUCCCGGAGAGACAUUGUCUGCGGAUCACUGGCCCGAUAUCACAUAAAGGCCCCAUCUGAGCCAUUACAGCCUAUUGUGUCAAUGUGUUUUCUGGGAGGCUGUCAUCCAUAGAUCACAGUCAGCAGCGAAGGUAAUGCCUCCAUGGGAACUGUUACUAUUUCCCAUCAGUGAAUUCUAUUAGAGGUCCGUGGGUUACUGCCACUGGAGUUCAUAUUAACUCGGUCAAAGGGAUGGUGAUUGAUUCUGUGGAGUUUUGUGAAUACACACAAAAUACAUUUCAUACUGUCAUCUGAGUUUUGUAUUGCACUUCCAUGAUCCUUGCUACAUGGCAAAUCCAAUAUCAUCUACUUGGAUUGCUACAGAGAAAAAAACAAAUUUCCCAUGCCAUUUUAAAGCUGAAAUACUUGCCCAUUUCCUUUUUUCUCCAGUCACAAAAGAUUUAGACCUAACUAUAAACCAUUGACUUCUCUUCUGACUUAACAACUUGAUCUGAUGGGAAGGGCAUUUAUUGAAUGCCCAUUCUGUUCCAAGAAAUAGCAGUGGGAACUACGGAUGAUACCCAAAAUAUUAAUACAGUAGGUUUGUACCCCCAUAGAAUUUAUAAUAUAGUCAGACAGAAGCACUCGUAAAGUAAUCAAAGAAUAUAAUUACAAAAUUAGCAACAGAAAGUGCCUAAAUAAGACAUUCACAAACAGUGCCAUAGGUAUUAAUAUAUUCUUGAAAAGAUGAAUGCUCACUGAAUCUUGGGAGGUGCUGAAAAAAUUAGCUAUUUAUAGGGGUCCUUUAUGUUGAAGUGGUUUUUUUUCAUAGCCUAACUUAUUGAUAUUAAAAAUUUUAAAGUGUGUGAAUAUGUUCUUGAUGUGGUUAUAUACUUGGGGCUCCUGGGGCAGGAAAAAUACCAAGUUUAGCAAUAACCUUAGAAAGUUUCCUCACUUAAUUGAAUUUUAGAUGAGGUGUUGAAAGUGAAGGACAUGGAUUUGUGGUGAUUUUAGAGCAGGCCAACUCUCUUACAUGCUCAAAGCAGAAACAUGUAGCAUCAAGUCUAUUUCCUUCAUUGGUGGAUGUUGCAUGGUAUAGGGAGGGUGGUGCUAAGAGGCUCAUGUUAUUUGCAGUGGAGUUUUGUAACUGGUAUGGGAGUCCUUUCUUGAACAUCCCUUCCUGAACUGGAUUCUAAUAUAUUUGGUAUUCAGACCGUCAACAGCUGGAGACCUUGUGUGUACAUAUAGAUACUUGGUGGUCCUCUGACCCCACAUCUGGACUCCUAGAGGAGAAGCAGGUACUCUCAGGGCAACCCAGGUUACUAUGGUCAAUGGGACACUGAGUGCAAAGACUAGAGUUUCAUUCAUUAUGGAAAUUCUUUUGUUCCCAUGACUUCUCUCUCUAAAUGUCUUAAAAAAUGGUGGAAAUGCUGGAAGGUUCAUUUUAUUGAAGUCUCCAUUUUGAAGAGUGAUGAUCUAGAUGAACAAAGCUCUUCCUGAUGACUUCCUAAAAUCUCUUACAAUGUCCCUUGAGUUUGUACCUCUCUUUAAUUACUAAACUUUCCUGGCUGUUUGGAUUUUCUUUGCCAGAUAAACAGAUAGAUAGAUAUUAACAACCUCUUAGAUGGUUAUUCAAAUUCUCACCUCUCUCUUGUCCAACCCAUUCUACAACCAACUGGAAUGCAACAGCCCUCAAGUUCAGAAACCAUCACGUUAUUUUUCUGAUCAAGAUUUUCCUAUUGCUUACGAUAACAGACCCACAUUCUUUACUCUGACAUUAAAGUCCUUAACAAAUGCCCUCUCACUGCAACUAAACCCCUCCCUCUAUCCCUCCCUUUAAUCAUCAACAUUUCUCCUUCCUCUGCACUCUCUGCUAUCUCCUAAGUAAAGUUCCUUUCUUCCUCUUCUGUGGUUUUCCAUGAGAUAUCCCACUGCUCAAAAGCCCCAACACAUCUCCCUUCCAAGCCACAGCUUUCAAAGCAUAGUUCCUUUUAGAUUAUAAAUUGAAUGUGGUUGAAAGAACUAGCUAUGCAUGUAGACACCUUGCUUCCCUGAGACGAUGGCCCUAGGCCUAGCAAGGAGGGAUGGUAGAGGAUGGGAGGAAUGCUUGUGUAGGAGCCCCAGACAUGGUAAUAAUAUGGCAAUAAUGCAGCCCAGUGUCCAAACAUCCCCUUGGCAGGGAGCUGGUGUUAGUCUUGACAUUAUUUCCGCAGGGCUGGGAUGGAGGAGGAUACUUGCCUCCUCCCAAAAGCUGAAAACUGUAGCAGGAAACAAUUUAAGCUAAAACAAUACGGGGAAAUUAUACUUCUGUGGUGACCUGAAUGGGAAGGAAGUCCAGAAAGGAGGGGAUAUGUGUAUAUGGAUGACUGAUUAAUUUUGCUGUACAGUAGAAACCCAUACAACAUUAUAAAGCAACUAUUUGUUGUUAUUUAGUGACUAAGUCAUGUCUGAUUCUUUAGCGACCCUAUGGACAGGCUCCUCUGCACGUGGGAUUUACCGGGCAAGAAUACUAGAGUGGGUUGCCAUUUCCUUUUCCGGGGAUCUUCCUGACUCUGGAAUUGAACCCUGCAUUGACAGGUGGAUUCUUUACUACUGAAACACCAGGAAAACCCAAAGCAACUAUAUUUGAAUAAAAAUUAAUUUAAAAAAAAAGUACA